UCUGUGAGGAAAUCAGAUGUCGCAGGGAGAAGACUCAGCCGAGCCGAGCCGCAGGCACUCAGGACCUGCUGGGGGUGGGGAGGUGGGGGAGUCGCAGUCCCCUGCCUCCUCUUCACUGAGGUGUGAGGGACUUUAGUUCCCCAACCAGGGAUUGAACCCAUGCCCUCAGCAGUGAAAGCUCGGAGUCCUAACCACUGGAGUGCCUGGGAAACCCUAUCAUUAGACACAAAUAAUCUGCAGAACUAGAAACAAAGGCUACAAACUCUUGCCACAGAAAAGAUGUAGAGGCACUUUUUUACAGGACAAAUUUUCCUAUUGGCAGAGAUCAUGGAAAAAAAAAGUGGUCCCAGGCUGGGGAAGAGACAGGAAAGCAUGAGAGAGAGGAAUGGAAAGCCUCCGUCUGGGACCCUGGACCUGCAAGGAAGGACCACCAAGUGCUAGCCAUCCACUCAUCGUCCAUCGAUCUUCUAGUCUUGAGUGAUGCUCAUCUAAGCCUGAGAUUCUGCUCAUCUCCCCUGAAUCUGUGUGGACCCUGCCUUCCUCUUAGCCUCAGCAACCCACUGUUGAAUUCCCAUUUUAUUGACAGAGGAGUGGAGAUUUCAGGAGGCUGAGCAUUGCCUAGAAAUUACCAGCAAGGUUGAAGCUAGAACUUAAGCCUCAUGAAUCCCUGUUGAAAACUCUUUCCAGUA